UGGUUCCUCAGUGUCUCUGAGUCCUCUGUAGGACGGAGAGUCUCCUCCUGUUUCUCACUGCUGAUCAGUUGAGUCUGUACAGGAUCACACUGACAGAAAUAUGUCAGGUUAUUGUUAUGAACUAAUGAAUGAACUUUGUAUAAAAUAAUCCAGAAUGAUUGAACAGAUUCCUGGUGAACAUUGUAAACUUCUUCCACUUCCUGUCCUUUAAAGAUGGAAGCUGUGAUCAUCAAAUUGUAGAAAUGCCGUUGACUUGUGUCCUGUUUAGUUUUGAAUUCUGUCUCUUUUCACAAUAAAAGCAUCAAGUUACUGUGAGAGUGUUUGUGGUCUUUCUGUUUAACUUUUCCACACGAUAAGAUGUCUGGGUGUCCCAGAGGUCUUCCAGGUCCAGCUGCAGCGUGAGAAACCCUCCAAUCAGAGCAGUCAGUACGUGGAGCUGGGACUCAUUCCAGGUAACAGCUCACCUGUGUCAGACAUUUCUCUCCAGGUGGAGAGUGACCCUCUUCUUCAUCAACUCUUCUUCAUCAACUCUUUGGACUGUUUGAAGAAACUGACCCAUCAGAGACCAGACCCUGCUGAACCUGAAACUGAA